rnacentral:rRNA from 1 species
UACAGAGGGUGCGAGCGUUAAUCGGAUUUACUGGGCGUAAAGCGUGUGUAGGUGGCUUCCUAAGUCGAUUGUGAAAUCCCUGGGCUCAACCUGGGAAUUGCAGUCGAUACUGGGGAGCUCGAGUUCGGUAGAGGACGGCGGAAUUCCCGGUGUAGCGGUGAAAUGCGUAGAUAUCGGGAGGAACAUCGAUGGCGAAAGCAACCGUCUGGGCCUGAACUGACACUGAGACACAAAAGCGUGGGGAGCAAACAGG